GACGAACGCUGGCGGCGUGCUUAACACAUGCAAGUCGAACGGUGAAGCGCCUUCCUGUUUGGUGGGUGUGGAUGAGUGGCGAACGGGUGAGUAACACGGGAGUAACCUGCCCCCUCCUUCUGGAUAACCGCAUGAAAGUGUGGGUAAUACGGGUUAUUCUGUGGCUGUGGCAUGAUGGGUCUGGGAAAGAUAGUGUUGCGGUGGGGGAUGGACUCGCGGCCUAUCAGCUUGUUGGCGGGGUGGUGGCCUACCAAUGCGGUGGGGGGUAGCCGGCAUGUGCGGGUUGCCGGGCAGACUGGGAAGGAGGCCCGGCCCAGACUCCACCGGGAGGCAGCAGAGACGACUACGGGACACUGGGGGCAAGACUGAUGCAGCGACGGCGCGAGCGUGAUGGAGGCCUGCGGGUUGUGAACUUAUUUCGCCAGUGUAGCAGGGCUCUCUUGUUUGUGGGUGGGUUGACGGUAGCUGGAGAAGAAGCGCCGGCUAACUACGUG
rnacentral:rRNA from 1 species